CCUANGGGGGGCAGCAGUAGGGAAUAUUGGGCAAUGGGCGAAAGCCUGACCCAGCAACGCCGCGUGCGCGAUGAAGGUCUUCGGAUCGUAAAGCGCUUUUCUGAGGGAUGAGCAAGGACAGUACCUCAGGAAUAAGUCUCGGCUAACUACGUGCCAGCAGCCGCGGUAAAACGUAGGAGGCAAGCGUUAUCCGGAUUUACUGGGCGUAAAGCGUGUGCAGGUGGUUCGGUAAGUUGGAUGUGAAAGCUCCUGGCUCAACUAGGAGAGGUCGUUCAAUACUACCGGACUUGAGAGCAGUAGAGGGAGGUGGAAUUCCCGGUGUAGUGGUGAAAUGCGUAGAUAUCGGGAGGAACACCAGUGGCGAAAGCGGCCUCCUGGACUGUUUCUGACACUCAGACACGAAAGCUAGGGUAGCGAACGGGAUUAGAUACCCGUNUANUC
rnacentral:rRNA from 1 species